AUUGAACGCUGGCGGCAGGCCUAACACAUGCAAGUCGAACGAGUGGCGGACGGGUGAGUAAUGUCUGGGAAACUGCCUGAUGGAGGGGGAUAACUACUGGAAACGGUAGCUAAUACCGCAUAACAUCAGAUGUGCCCAGAUGGGCUUAGCUUGUUGGUGGGGUAACGGCUCACCAGGGCGACGAUCACUAGCUGUUCUGAGAGGAUGACCGCCCCCACUGGAACGGAGACACAGUCCAUACUCCUGCGGGAGGCAGCAGUGGGAAAUAUUGCACAAUGGGCGCAAGCCUGAUGCGACCAGGCCGCGUGUAUGAAAGAGGCCUUCGGGUUGUAAAGUACUUUCAUCGGGGGGACGUUACCCGCAGAAGAAGCACCGGCUAACUCCGUGCCAGCAGCCGCGGUAAUAC
rnacentral:rRNA from 1 species